UACGUAGGGUGCGAGCGUUAAUCGGAAUUACUGGGCGUAAAGCGUGCGCAGGCGGUUCGUUGUGUCGGUGGUGAAAUCCCCGGGCUUAACCUGGGAACUGCAUUUGUGACUGCAUGGCUGGAGUGCGGCAGAGGGCCGCGGAAUUCCAGGUGUAGCGGUGAAAUGCGUAGAUAUCUGGAGGAACACCGGUGGCGAAGGCGGCUCUCUGGGCCUUACCUGACGCUGAGGAGCGAAAGCGUGGGUAGCGAACAGG
rnacentral:rRNA from 1 species